rnacentral:rRNA from 1 species
AUUGAACGCUGGCGGCAUGCCUAACACAUGCAAGUCGAACGGCAGCACAGCAUGUAGCAAUACAUGUGGGUGGCGAGUGGCGGACGGGUGAGUAACGCGUGGGAAUCUGCCCUAUAGUGGGGGACAACCCGACGAAAGUCGGGCUAAUACCGCAUACGCCCUACGGGGAAAGGCUUCGGCCGCUAUUGGAUGAGCCCGCGUCGGAUUAGCUAGUUGGUGAGGUAAUGGCUCACCAAGGCGACGAUCCGUAGCUGGUCUGAGAGGACGAUCAGCCACACUGGGACUGAGACACGGCCCAGACUCCUACGGGAGGCAGCAGUGGGGAAUAUUGCACAAUGGGCGAAAGCCUGAUGCAGCAAUGCCGCGUGUGUGAAGAAGGCCUGCGGGUUGUAAAGCACUUUCGGUAGGGAAGAUUAUGACGGUACCUACAGAAGAAGCACCGGCUAACUCCGUGCCAGCAGCCG